AGGUCAUGUUGAUAUCAGGCACGUCACAGAGCCCUGAUUCUAGAAGGUGCCUUUAUCAUCUGAUCCUGUUUCUUAGUUUUUCAUGAGAUCCUUGAGUUCCCAAAAUGCAUCUAAUCUAAGCUAUCAACCAGGAUUUCUUUCUGUUACUCAGGCUGGAAUGCAGUGGUGGGAUCAUAGCUCACUAUAGCCUUGAACUCCUGGACUCAAGCCAUCCUUCUGCCUCAGCCUCCUGAGUAGCUGU
rnacentral:lncRNA from 1 species